GUAUCUUCGGAUACGAGUACAGCGGCGGACGGGUGAGUAACGCGUAGGAAUCUACCUAGUAGAAGGGGAUAGCCCGGGGAAACCCGGAUUAAUACCGUAUACCUCCUUCGGGAGAAAGAAGGCCUCUCUUUGAAGCUUUCGCUACUAGAUGAGCCUGCGUAAGAUUAGCUUGUUGGUGAGGUAAAGGCUCACCAAGGCAACGAUCUUUAGCUGGUCUGAGAGGACGAUCAGCCACAUUGGGACUAAGACACGGCCCAGACUCCUACGGGAGGCAGCAGUGGGGAAUAUUGGACAAUGGGCGCAAGCCUGAUCCAGCCAUACCGCGUGUGUGAAGAAGGCCUUCGGGUUGUAAAGCACUUUAAGCAGGGAGAAAAAGUUAUAAGCUAAUACCUUAUAACCUUGAUGUUACCUGCAGAAUAAGCACCGGCUAAUUCCGUGCCAGCAGCCGCGGUAAUACGGAAGGUGCAAGCGUUAAUCGGAAUUACUGGGCGUAAAGCGCGCGUGGGUGGUUUGUUAAGUUGGAUGUGAAAGCCCUG
rnacentral:rRNA from 1 species